AUGCAAGGAGAAGUAGAUGCGGUUUCAAGGGGCCGUGAGGAUGCCCACCAUGAAGGCGUGUCUGGGAUGAUGAAGGUGAUAUCCGCCAGGUCCCCGUUGCCGUCGACUGGCGGCAGCCACCGUCUCCUCUUUCAUGGCGUCGUCGGGGCCUUCCCCUGCCAAGCACAGGUGGCAGGUAUGCAUUCAGAUGUUGCAGCUCUAAGGAAGGGUAGUAUAUGGCACAUGGCUUCGUGGGUUGUUCAACAAGAAGUGUUUUGGGCAUAUUCGAAAUGCAAUCUUGUGAAAAUUAUAGAUCGAUUUUCUUAUUCUGUCAUCAUGACACCUGCAUCUGUAACUUACCCAUUGGAUGUUCUUCGAAAUCACCUGACAACACAGAAAACCACUAGGUAUUACAAGGGCAUCUUUCACACGUUGUCUACAAUUUGUAGAGAAGAGAAUAGUAGAGGAUUGUAUAAAGGCCUUUGGUCCACCUUAUUGGGAGUUGGACCUGAUAUAUCAAUCAAUGUUUAUGUAUAUGAAUCCCUGAGGUCUCAUUGGAAAAUGGAAAAUUUGAGCCUUGGCUCCGGUUUUGAUAGCUCUAUAUCAGUAAGUUUAGUCCAGUAA
rnacentral:rRNA from 1 species